GCGCCCAUAGCUCAACGGAUAGAGCGCAGGCCUCCGAAGCUUGAGAUUAGGGUUCGACUCCCUGUGGGCGCA
rnacentral:tRNA from 1 species